UUUUGGCUGAAAGAUUCCUACAUAUUUCCAUUAUGUCAUGUAUUUUCUAACUAGAGCUUAAAUAGCUGAUUUCGUAAUAAUCUCUGAGCCAGCAGAUCUGUUUUGACUUAGCUAACCCACAUAUUUGUAACACAAUGAUAUGACCAGUGCACCCAACAACCCUCUUUUGGCUGCUUUAUCCUUCACACAACUUAAACUUUCUACAUGUUUCCAGGACACAGAGACUCUUUUUUUCCAAAAUAUUAUGCAAAUACUAAAGACGCCUUCCUGCCCUCUCCCCAAGGGCCUAUGACUGUGUGCAGCCGUUGGAGAUUCCUACAAUAUUCUUUAGUUGCAAAUCAAGAAUAGAGACAUGGGAGAGGAAGGAGGUUUGGAGAGCCCAGGGCCCGGGAGACGACUGCAUUUAAGAAAAUACUCAGAGAGUGAAGCUUUCAAGCCAAGCCGCUUCUCCCAACAUGCAAAAGGCUUUGCUGCUCCCCUAGCCAAGAAGAAGGUGCCCAGUGGGACCCUCUGUGUCCACUCGGGACUGGGACGCACAGGGACUGAAGAGGAGGACGUGCCCGUCCACAUCUCAAGAUCUGCGUCUGGCUCUUCGACCCUCUGCCUUUCCCCACUGCAGGUGAACCAAUGGAACUGACUCACCUCUGGCUCCAGGAGAAAGCGUAUGACUCCAGUAUGGUCCACCAGAGGGUUGCCUCUGGUGGCCACCAUGAUUGACCUCAACAUGAGUGUGUGGCCAAUCAGAGCCAAUUAGAGCUAAUCCCACAGUUUUUGCUGAGUGAUCAGAACCUGCUGUAUGACACUUGGGAGAUGACAAGAACAGAGAGCCUGCUGAAAGGGAAUCCAAAAGUGAAGAAAGCAGGUCCAAGAGCACAGAAGACCAAGUUUUCAAAGGAUUGUUUCAACCCCUGGAUCAAGCCAUGCCUGAAACCUCACCCUAAAUCUACCAUGAGACUUUUAAAUUAUAUGAGCCAUUGGAGCUCCCUUUUUUUCCAUAAACCCAAUUGGUUUUGGUUUUCUGUCACCUGAAACCAAAAGAAUUUGAUUGAUAAAAUCUCCAUACCUGUCACUGCA